ACUCAUGCGUUUCGUGCAUUUGAAUCAGCUCUUUCGUUUGUUCAAUGUAGUGGUUCUUGUACUUAACUAAUUUUGCACGGGUUCGCUUCUCCGCUGAUCGUAAUUCAUUGGUUGCACGCGCUAAUUCAUCUUGAAUCCUAUUAACGAUAUCUUUGAACCAUUAUUACAGUUGGAGAAUUUCCAAAUUGUAAUCCAGCUUCUCAGCAUUAACCAGGAAGCUGGCUCGCAUGUUCUGCAGUUGCUCCGUCAUUAACUGCAAAACGGCAAACAUGAUCAUCUUUACAUCCAUAUAAGCAUCCAGUUUCGCUGUGCGGAGGACCUUCAUGUUGCCCAGUAUUUCGUCUAGUAACUCUUCCCUUUGGACAGUAAUCGCAUCCUAUGAAAUUUCACAUACUGUAUUAACUUCCGUUUCUGGCAAAAUUAGCCAAAAUACUUCCACCGCUAACUUCACAGCCCAAAUAAUUAUGCACAAGAUGGAAUUAACGAAAAUAUACAGCAGUUAACAUGAUGGUUAUGAGAUACCGUAUAAAAUGUAAUACCUACUUGGUCUUACAUCUUUCGCUCUGACUUGGGCGUAACCUUGUUCCCACAGGCCGUUAACCUUCCUUGUGUAGUCGUGUUCAAUCCCGAUCACAAUUUUCUGCAAGAUAUUGGUUGCAUUACAUAAUAUAAUUAGGAAGCGAUUCUAAUUCUCCAGAAGUUUCACGUAGUUACGUUUAAUUCGUAAAUUUCUUUCCUUCCAAAUGCCGCCAGCUUCGUGCAAAACUCCCAAGCCUUCUUCCUAACUCCAUCAAUGUCCCUCUGAUAUGUUCGCAGUAUGCGAGUAAAAUUAUCAUCCAGGCUUUUCAGUUCAUCUUCAAUCUCCUCGACAAACGAUUGUUUCGAUUUGACCAGCUCUUGACCGUAUUUCCGAUAUUUUUCUAGGAGCAUCACCAACUAUCAUCAACGAAUAAGAAUAACUCCUCCGAUUGUAAUGAUUGAUUGUAACUUACUUCAUCCAGUGCCAACGUUUUAUGACCGAUUUCAGAAUACUUCCGGAAUUUGGCUUGCAUUCGUUGGGAGCUUAAGGCUUUAUUCUCCUUGAUGCGUUGCUCUAAUAAGGCGAGAUGUUGGCGAACGGCACGACGUCGCUGGAUUCGACGGUGGCAUACAGUUUUAACGAAACCAUGGAGGACGUCUUCUUGUUUCGCAACGUUUCUCCGGAAGUUCUGUCAUAGGAAACUUUUGCCUAGAGAACGCUGCAUAUACAAGCGGGUUUAUGAAGUGACCUUUGCGCUUUCCGCCACUGGUGCAAAGGAUGGCAUCCUGGCUGUCUUUUUCUCUUCGUGCUGAUCUUCGAUCUGUUCCUCCGUGUUAGACUUUCUGCAACCACAGAGCGAGGUGCACUAUGCUCUUUAUAGGAAAGCAACAUAAAUACAAAAGGUUGAAGCGAUCGUAAUUGUCGAACGCACUGAUCUUGGCGAGCCAGACGUUGCUCCAACCGCUUGCGCCGAGCCAUGAUGCGUUCUUCGCGAACAUUCGACAAGAUGCCAGAUCCUCUUUUAACAGGCUGUGCAUUCUGAAAUUUGGGAAAAUCCAAAAUAGGAUCCUUAUCUUGAAACUGGCCAAAGAUUGCAUCCAGAUGGGCUUGUGAUGCAGGACCAUCGCCAUCUUUAACUCGCAAAUCUGCUUCGUGAUCCAUACAAAUGAUAAUCCAAUCGAACAAAUUUGCUGUGGACUCAAGGAAAGCAAGCGCUGUAGAAGUGACUUAGAUUAUGGGUGGAUGUGAUACUGAGAAUCGGAGAAAAUAAAACGUUGUAUUAUUCCUCAUUAUGAGCAGUACUUUGAGGCUUAACAUAAAGCAACUUGUACAGUAUUGCUGGUACAUUAUAUGUGCAGUACUCGUAUGCAAUUUGCAUAAAAUCACCAAGCUCGUUGCUUUUGCUUUUUGUUUCGCAGGUGCUCCGUCGUUACCAAGUAACAGCUCAAAGUCUGGCUGAGUGGUAGGAGGCUGGAAAAACUGCCAACUCCUACUGUAUGAGGGCUAGUAAGUCCAGAAUUUUGGUACGCACCAUCACCGUCACACGUGUGACGCGUAACCAAUUCCUUUGUCGAGUGGUUAAUAUUUGCAGCCCAUAGCAGAUCAAAUGCUUGGUGUUAGCGACCCGAGUGUCCGGUGAAAGUUCACAGAAUUAUUAAUAAAACAGUUUUUACUUUUAUUGCAUUGGAACGAUACAGUACCUUGCACUGAAUGCUCAAACAGAGAAACAACGGUAUUAUUCGUAUAUUUUCUUGCGAGUUUCUUUAUUUAACAGUUAACAGACAUCGGAAAAUUUCCUAAAAGAUCAUAGCUGUUCUUAUAGUUCGCAAUAAUGGCUGUGAUAAUCAAGAAACAUAGCCUAAUUGCUUGUUUUUAUUCAUUUCUUUUUCUCAUCUUUCGGAGUGCCUUUUCCACCGUCGGCCUUUUCCGGUGGCUUUGCCGCUACUUCUGGCUUAUUCUCCUUUGCUGGUGCUUUUGGAUCCUUUGCAUCUUUCCCUGACGUUUGCAGAUAUUCUUCCUUGGCGUAUGGAAAUUUUCCUCGUGGCACCGGCUUCCCAUCGGGGCCUUUAACACACAAAACUAUUCACUUGCGCCGGUAAAAGGUUGAAAGAGUGUUAGUUCUCAGAGAUUGCAAAAUAGUAAGUAUUUAAAUGCGACUAGAGCAACAUAAAAUAAUUGACUUACUCGUAAAAUAAAAAUGAUUAGGAGAGUAAUAAAUCAACAAGUCACGAAGCAGAAAUAAAUCAUAAAGUUUUUGUGUUCGCAAAAUUGGUGUAUCUGCAUUGUUCAGGAACUUCAGAAACUUUUAAGGAUACAAAGGCCGCUUUCAGUGCUGAGUAAUGACAAAGUUUUGAUCUCAGAUUUGUGACGCCAAAGGAUAAGAAUGUUUUGCACUUUAAUAAGUCAUUAAUAAUUAUAAUAAAUAAGGUUUAAUAAAAUCAGUUUUUAUAAAAUUCAUAUAUUUAACAACAAUAACUCUGUGAAGUGACCUUUAAUAAAAUUGGGUGGAUAACAGACUUCCGGCUGUGGGAAGCGUUUCAUUAGACGGCUGGGGUCAUACUUGAUUCCGCGGUCGGUAGGCACAUCACCACGUGGAAACAGCAUUAGAUGCUGCGAGCGGAAGAAACGCGGAAAGAGCAUAUCGUUGACUUUCCAGACAAUCUGAUAACAAGAAAUUGUUAAACAGUACCAAAAAGAGAAAGAUCACUGCACUUUUAAUCUGUCAUAUGCCUUUACCUCUGGAUCGGGUAGAACCGCCCCGAUUAGCUGCAUCAGUGACGGAUUAUCACAGACAGCUGUGCGGUACUUUUUGAAGGUUAUGUAGUCAUCCUUCUGGUGGGCAAUGCGAUUCAUGAUUAAACGAUAAAUGUCCUAGUAAUAAACAGGGAAAUUAAUAAUAGUAGCGAAAUGGUUUUCCUGGGGUAACCUCUGUAUGCGGCGCUAUGCGCUAGCGUUCAAAACUCAGCAAACGUAUGCCGGUUACCGUACCAGACCUCGUAAAAUUCGGCUUUUUGGCUGUCAGUCAUCGGGUUCAGGUUAUAAUAGCUCCGCUUGAUCCAAAACUUAAUGUCUUCAGAUUCCAGCUGACCUUUUCCGCGCAGAUCGUACGCCAAAAAGCAAUCUAUAAAGCAAUUACAAUGUAACUUUUAAUCACUUAUCAAUAAAUUACUUAUUUCGUGUAGUGCGUCUCUUUAUAAAUUAUUUCAGUGGAAAGUAAAUUUAUCACAAGCGGUCGUACAUAAAGUAUUUAGUUAUUCUCUGUACCGCCUUAUCCUACUUUGCUGUUGAACAUACAUUUCAUUUGUUCGUGAAUGGAUCCCACUAAAAUCGUGUGCAUUCCAUGAGUCCACUCCUGAUAGUCGAUUAACUCAUCCUAGAAAAUUCGCUGGAACAUGGAUUUCAACAAUGGCUGCAUAGGACUGCCACUAGUGCGAUGUACCUUAUUUUUGUCAAAAAUAAUGAACACUGAAAAAACAAUAAUUACUGUUACCGCUUGUAUUAAGAAUAGAUUUACCAGUUGUGAACAUGUACCUACUGCGUUCACAAAGAAAUGCGUCAUACAUGUCCAGAGUCCCAAAAAUAAAGCGCUUGAAUUGCGUCUUCGUCAUGUAUCCCUUAGGCUUUUUAGCGUGUUCGAAGAACAAAUCUACUAACGCUCUAGUUUCGUUCUUCUGAACUGCAAAGAAAAAUAGCUGUAGCAUUUAUACCGGCCAUCCUUUCUGUGAUUUUUCAUACGAACCGUACGGCAUAAUGCGUAAACAUCGCACAGUCAUGUAGCAAGAAUACAUUGGAGGUCGGCAGAGUUUCAUAAAAAAUGUUCACGGAAUAGUUUCGGCAAACUUUCCGAAAUUAAAAUCUCUUUACGCCUACUCUAGGUUGUAUGUGUUAGUUAACACGCUCUUUUUAUACAUUAAUUAUCCACUGCCCAUUAGGAACGAAUGGAGUGGAUGAUAAAGCCAUUGUGCUUCGCAGCAGAGUAGAAAAAUCAGGAAGGCAUAAUCCAUAAAUGUCAAGGCUAAAAUAUGUGGAUAAUAUGAUGCAUUUGGUAAAAAGUGUUUUUACAUAAUUUAUUCUAAACAUGAGCCAGUUUUAAAUCCGCCUGUAAAGUGAAAUGUGCCUACUGUCUUGCUAAAACUGAGGGAGAAAUCAGUGUCAACACUUGAGAACCCCGAAAACAUUUA